rnacentral:rRNA from 1 species
GUGUCAGCAGCCGCGGUAAUACAGAGGGUGCGAGCGUUAAUCGGAAUUACUGGGCGUAAAGCGCGCGUAGGCGGUUUUGUAAGUCGGGUGUGAAAUCCCCAGGCUCAACCUGGGAACUGCAUUCGAGACUGCAUGACUGGAGUAUGGGAGAGGACAGCGGAAUUUCCGGUGUAGCGGUGAAAUGCGUAGAUAUCGGAAGGAACAUCAGUGGCGAAGGCGGCUGUCUGGCCCAAUACUGACGCUCAUGUGCGAAAGCGUGGGGAGCAAACAGGAUUAGAAACCCUGGUAGUCC